GUUCCCGGUCUGGGCAGCCUCGACCGGGGUCCGUGCGGACGGGCGGGGGUCCCGCAGGGUCAGCCCCGGCUGUCCUCACCCCGGAGCCCCCGUGCUCACGUGGGUGCGGGGCGGCGGCCCUGGGGGGACCGGGAGGUCGCUCGGGCAGGGGCAGGGGCAGGGCACUGUGUGGGAUGCAGCGGCUGCCCCUCCCAGGGCGCUGUGGAGAGACUUGGUCUCACAGGACAGGGGCCAGAUUCUGCCCUCCCCGGUCCAAGCUACAGCGUCUGGCUGGAGCCCCCUGCCCUGCCCAACCCCAGCCCACACAGCAGGCCCCUGCCUGGCCCUGUGCUCCCAGGAUGGUGGGUCUCACGCUCCAGCUCAUGUAUGGCUAUGAGCUCCACAAAGACAACAGCACUGAAGGCUUCAUGCAGUUUGGCUAUGAUGGGGGAGACUUCAUCAGCUAUGACCUGGGAAUGUGUACCUGGGUAGGAGAAACAACACAGGCCCAGGUCACCCAGGGCAGCUGGAAUGAGGAUAAGGCCCUUCUUCAGCUUACAAGAUCCUACCUGGAGGAGACCUGCACCACGUGGCUGCAGAAGUACCUGCAGCACGGGGAGGCAGCACUGCAGAGCAGUGAGUCCUGGUGCCACCACCCAGGGCAGCAGUGACCGGGGCACCUCCCCAUGCCCAGGCAACGCCCGCUCCAUCCCUCUGUUUCCAGGGUGCCCAGUGCUGCUGUGGGACAUAGUGCCCCUGUCCCUGCCCUGGUCAGGCCUUCCAGCUGGGCAGAGCUGACCGGAUGUCCCUGCCUGGUGGCGUGUCUAAGAACCAGAGAUCAGCUGUAUGGGACCCUGUUCCUGCAGCCCUGAGCCCAGCACACCUGUAUCUCUCAUCCCUUGUGCUCCUGCCCCGAUGCCGUCUGCUCCUGCCUGAAAUGGGCCCUGGAGUCAGGUUGUGUGGCCCAGUGCAGGGCCCAGACCAGCCUCCUGGCAGGGGUGCUGAGGGUCCUGCAGAAACGGUCACUCUAACAUGUGUCUCCUCCCUCCCAGAGCGUCCUACGGCAUGGGAGAGCGACAGGCCGUCAUUGCAGGAUGGGUGCACCACCCUGUCCUGUUGGGUCCAUGGCUUCUACCCCAGGGAUGUGGCUGUCGUCUGGCUGAAGAAUGGGGAGGCACAGCACCAGGAGAUGAGCUGCUUGGGGGUCCUUCCCAGAGGAGAUGGGACCUCAGACCUGGGCCACCAUUGAGAUCUACCUGAGCAGCAACCACAACUACACCUGCAGUGUGGAGCAUGAGAACCUGGGUGCAGCCCUGAGUGGCCUGGGACAAGGGCAGGAUGGGUGAGUGUCCCCCACAUGAGGAGGGAGAAGAAACUUGGCACUUCAGGAGGGGGGCUGACUGACCCUGCUAAGUGGGGAAGGAACUGGGGUGGGUGGUCAGAGGAUGCAGAGGGUACUGGGCCCGUGCAGUGUUGGGGGCAGGUUGGAGGUUCCUGUUGCUCACAGACCUCUUGCAGAAUCCCACCUGAUGCUGAUUGUGGGCAUCCUUAAUGCUGUGGUGCUGCUUGUUGCUGUGAUGAGUGAUGAUUGCAGCUGUUUACUUCCUCAGGAGACAGGGAGCGGCAUACAAAGCAGCACCUGGUGUUCCUGGAGACAGGACACUGCCGACAGGCGCUGUGCACAAGUGUACAGAGAGCGAGAGGCCAGGCCCCCGGCCGGUGAGAUCCCUCCUGGGGAGACGUGGCUGCUGCACUGGAGCCUGUGGCAGCCGUGGGCCUUCCCUUCAUGGCGGGAGCUGGAGGGGCAGGAUCCAGGAGUUUUUCUUUUUCAGGACUUCGGGAAACCCAAGGGCCUAAGGAUGAAUUGCCUCAUAUCACAAAAGAGGAGCCCCCGCCCAACCCAGAUCCAGAUCCCCAGAACAGGGGAGACCUGGGAGCUGUCAGCACGCGGAGGGUCCCCAGGCGGGUACCCUGGACCAGGCCCUUCCCCAGGUGCCGGGACCCUGAGCAGAGUGGAUCAGCAGCCUCCCGAGGAAGGGUCUGUAAACCUGGAGCUGCAGAGACCCUCCCCAGGGAGACGGGGACAGAGCGGCCCCCUGACACCUGGGCUGCGCCAGCUGCAGGAGGGGCAGGGCAGGUUGACGAAGCAGGGGCAGAGCAUGGAGCUCCGGGAGGUGUUUGAGGACGUGGCAGUGUAUUUCACACGGGAGGAGUGGGAGCUGCUGGAAGAGGAGGACAAGGGGCUUUACCAGGACCAGAUGCUGAGGAACUACCAAGCCCUUGUUUCCCUGGGAUAUCGUGGCCUCGCCCCUGACUUAAUCUUCUGCAUCCAGCGAGGACAGGUGGAGCUCUGGGUCUGUGAUGAUGAGGACCGUGUCGAAAUCUUGAGGUCGGAGGACCUGCUGCCAGGACAUGCCUGGAUGUUGAGCAGAACUGAAGAGCAGGCUCCUGAGGAAGGGCCUGGAAAGCUGGAGUCACCAUGGGCUUCCCUGGGGAGUAUGGGUGAGGUGGCUUCACUGAGCCUAACGAAGGACCAGUGGCACGAGGGUCAGGGGAUGCCCCAAAAGCAGGAGAAUGUAGCAGUGAACAUGCUCCCAUCUCUAGUUGGGCCUUGGAGUGAAGAAGGGAAAGAAGCCAGAAACAGCCUGAGGUGCAGGGAUGAAUAUGUCAUGCUGAGACACCUGAAGAGGCAGAAAGAAAAGGUCCACUGGAGAGAGACACUGCAUGGAAACCAAGGCAGUGUGGGGGGCCUCAGAGGGAAGCAGGAGCUCACUGCCAAGCCCAGGGGGAGAGCCCAUUCCUGCCAUCAGCGCAGGAAAAGUUUUAGUUGCCCCUCGCACCUGGCUCUGCACAAGAUAAGGCACGCUGGGGAGAAGCCCCACGUAUGCGCCAUGUGUGGGAAGAGCUUCACCUACCUCUCGACCCUGGCUGCUCACCACCAGAUCCAUUCUGGACAGCUCCCCCACCGCUUCACCAAAAGGGGGAAGAGCUUUGUGCGCAGCUUGGAGAUGCUCAAAACCCAGGAUGUACACAGGAAGAAGCGUCAGUACGGCUGUGUCACGUGUGGUAAGACUUUCACCCAUUUCUUCUCCCUGGUUCAGCACCGGCGCAUGCACUUGGGAAGGAAGACACACUGCUACAUUGGGUGCAGGAAGAACUUCUUCAGCUGGCAAGGCCUGUCCCAGCACCAGUGUGUGUGGAGGAGGCAGCAGCCACACUGCUGCACAAAGUGUGGGAAGAGCUUCAGGCAGCCCUCCAGCCUGGCCAGGCACAGGUGCAUGCACACACGGGAGAAGCGUCAUCAUUGCUCUGUGUUUGGGAAGAGCUUCAUCUCUUCUUCCAAGCUGGUCCAACACCAGGUUAUCCACGCAGGGGAGAAGCCACAUCAGUGCUCUAUUUGUGGGAAGAGCUUCACCCAUUCCUCCACCCUGGCCCGGCACCAGCACGUCCACACAGGGGAGAAGGCAUAUCAGUGCUCUGAGUGUGGGAAGAGCUUCAGUUAUUCCUCCCACCUGGUCCAGCACCAGCACAUGCACACGGAGGAGAAGCCAUAUCAGUGCUCUGAGUGUGGCAAGAGCUUCAGUUAUUCUUCCUCCCUGACCAAGCACAAGCUCAUUCACACGGGAGAGAAGCCAUAUCAGUGCUCUGAGUGUGGGAAGAGCUUUACUUUCUCCUCCAGUCUGGCCCAGCACCGGCACAUCCACACAAGGGAGAAGCCACAUCAGUGCUCUGAGUGUGGGAAGAGCUUCACCCUUUCCUCCCACCUGGCCCAGCACCAGCGCAUCCACACAGGGGAGAAGCCAUAUCAGUGCUCUGAGUGUGGGAAGAAUUUCAGAAUCCUCUCCAGCCUGACCCAGCACCAGCGCAUCCACACGGGGGAGAAGCCAUAUAAGUGCUCCGAGUGUGGGAGGAGCUUCACCCAAUCCUGCUCCCUGGCCAAGCACCAGCGCAUCCACACAGGGGAGAAGCCAUAUCAGUGCUCUGUGUGUGGGAAGAGUGUCACCCAAUCCUCCUCCCUGGCCAGGCACCAGCGCAUCCACACAAGGGAGAAGACACAUCAGUGCUCUGAGUGUGGGAAGAGUUUCAGAAUCCUCUCCAGCCUGGCCAAGCACCAGCGCAUCCACACAGGGGAGAAGCCAUAUCAGUGCUCUGAGUGUGGGAAGAGCUUCACUCGCUCCUUUGGCCUGGCCCAGCACCAGCGCGUCCACACAAGGGAGAAGCCAUAUCAGUGCUCUGUGUGUGGGAAGAGCUUCACUCGCUCUUCUGGCCUGGCCCAGCACCAGCGCAUCCACACAACGGAGAAGCCAUAUCAGUGCUCUAUGUGUGGGAAGAGCUUCACUCGCUCCUCCGGCCUGGCCUACCACCAGCACAUUCACACAAAGGAGAAGCCACAUCAGUGCUCUGUGUGUGGGAAGAGCUUCAGCCAAUAUAUCAACCUGGCCCAGCACCAGCGCAUCCAUAGAAGGGAGAAGUCAUAUCAGUGCUCUGAGUGUGGGAAGAGCUUCAGUUAUUCCUCCGAGCUGGCCCUGCACCAGCGUGUCCACACAGGGGAGAAGCCACAUCAGUGCUCUGAGUGUGGGAAGAGCUUCAGUCAAUCUUCCAACCUGGCCGUGCACCAGCGGAUCCACACAGGGGAGAAGCCAUAUCAGUGCUCUGACUGUGGGAAGAGCUUCAGUUAUUCCUCCCACCUGGCCCGGCACCAGCACAUUCACACAGGGGAGAAGCCAUUUCAGUGCUCUGUGUGUGGGAAAAGCUUCACUCGCUUGUCUGGUCUGGCCCAGCACCAGCAUGUCCACACAGGGGAGAAGCCAAAUCAAUGCUCUGAGUGUGGGAAGAGUUUCAGCAACCUCUCCAGCCUGGCCCGGCACCGGCGCAUGCACAAAGGGGAGAAGGCACAUCAGUGCUCUUAAUGUAGGAAGAGCUUCACCUACUCCUGCAACCUGUGCUGAACACCAGUGCAUCUACACAGCAGGGCCCAGAGCUGGGUGAACCAGCACCACAGGGUGAGCAACCCUGGGCGAGCGACUGGCAACUGGCUCAACAGGUGCCCCAAGCCAGCCCUGUCUGCCCUGUUCCUGCCCUCACCCACCACAGCCUGCGAUUUGCACCACAGAGGUGACUGGGGGAGUCAGGAGCAGUCUGUGCAUGGUGCCAUCUCCAGGGCGGUGUCUCCUCCCUUGGGAGAGCAGGUUCUCCACACCGCUGCCAGCACCCCAGCCAGCAUGCCCGCAGUAUCCAGUGCUGGGUCAGGUAUUGGGGUCAGGAGAGGUGGUGUGUGCUGGGCCUGGGGUGGGGCAUUGGACACAGGCUGUCCAGCCAAGCAUGGGGGAAUCAGGCUGAGUUUGUCCCCUCUGGGGGUUGGUGGGUUGCAGCAGCAGCCUCUGCAGAGUUAGGGGCAGAGCUGGAGCUGGGGUCAUUACUGCUCAUGCUCUGUAGGGCGGGGGUCACCAGAUGGGCUGGCGGGGUCUGCACUGACCUGAUGCAGAUGCUGGUGUCUGUCCCACGUGGGAUCUGUGUUCUCCUAAGGCAGGUGUGAAGGUUGCCAUGGUAGGUAGGGGUGAUACCUCAUUGCCCUGCAGGGGGCAUCAUCACUGGGGGGCAAAACUCCACCUGGAGUAUGUAUGUGGCACACCUUCAGGAGGGAUUGGGGGGUCGACACCUGGGGCAGGUGUGAUAGAUGCUGUAAUGGGGCAGGGGGUGCUAUACCACCAUUGUGCAGCAGGGGGUGCUGUGGGGGUAUCUGUGCUCACCUGGGGCAGGUGUGCGGUGGGCUGUCAUGGGGUAGGGGGAUCAGUGGACCCCCACGUCUUCCUCUCUCUCCUUCACAGCAGCAGGAGGAUGAGCACUGUGGCCCUGCUGCUUUUCCUGUGGCAGGACCAGGUGCGGUGUCUGCUGCUGUGUCAGGCUUGUGGCAGUUUGGCUAAGAAGUGCAAUGAUUUCAUAGAUUUCAUAGACAUUAGGGCUGGAAGGGACCUCGGAAGAUCAUCAAGUUCAGCCCCCUGCCCAAAGGGCAGGACGUCAGCUGGGGUCAUAGGAUCCCAGUAAGAUAAGCAUCCAGUUUCGUCUUGAAGGUGUUCAAUGAAGGCGCUUGAACCAUCUCUGGUGGCAGGCUGUUCCAGACCUUGGGGGCUCGGACAGUAAAGAAAUUCUUCCUUAUGUCCAGCCUGAAACGAUCUUGUAGUAGUUUGUGACCAUUCGACCUCAUCAUCCCUUGGGGUGCUCUGGUGAACAAACGUUCCCCCAGAUACUGGUGGUCACCCCUGAUAAACUUGUAGGUGGCCAUCAGAUCACCCCUGAGCCUGCGCUUUUCCAGGCUAAAGAGCCCCAGGGCUCUCAGCCUGUCAUCGUAGGGUCUGCUUCCCUGACCUCUGAUCAUGCGCGUGGCUCUUCUCUGGACUCUCUCAAACUUCUCCACAUCCUUUUUGAAUUGUGGAGCCCAAAACUGGACGCAGUACUCCAGCUGCGGCCUCACUAAGCCCGAGUACAAGGGGAGAAUGACGUCCCGGGAUUUGCUUGAGAAGCAUCUAUGGAUGCAAGCCAGCGUUUUGGUCGCUUUACUAGCCGCAGCAUCGCAUUGCAGGCUCAUGUUCAUCUUGUGGUCAAUGAUGACCCCCAAGUCUCUUCCAUAGUGCUAGCCAACAUAGCACUGCCGAGCCUAUAAGGAUGCUGUGGGUUUUUCUUUCCAAGGUGGAGAACCUUGCAUUUAUCAGUGUUGAACACCAUCAGAUUCUUGUCCGCCCACUUGCUGAGCCUGUCCAGGUCAGCCUGGAUCAUCCGCCUGUCUUCUGGUGUGGAUGCUUUGCCCCAAAGUUUGGUGUCAUCGGCGAACUUGGCCAGUCCGCUUCUGACUCCAGUGUCCACAUCAUUAAUGAAGAUGUUGAACAGUAUGGGUCCAAGGACAGAGCCUUGGGGGACCCCACUGGUCACAGGACACCACGAUGAGUGACUUCCAUCAAUUACUACCCUCUGGGUCCGACCCCGGAGCCAAUUUUCCAGCCAGUGGAUCGUGGAGGACCCAAGGCGACAAUUGGCCAGUUUCUCCAAGAGGCGAUCAUGGGAAACCAGAUCGAAGGCUUUUUUGAAGUCAAGAUAUAUGACAUCAAUCUCUUGUCCCUUGUCCAGGUGAUAGGUCACCUGGUUGUAGAAGGAAAUGAAAUUGAUCAAGCAAGACCUACCCGCAACAAACCCGUGCUGGCUAUCCCUUAAGAUGUUGAUGUCGGCCAGUCCAUUAAGGAUGGCCUCUUUAAUAAACUUUUCUAAGAUCUUCCCCGGGAUAGAAGUCAGGCUAAUGGGCCUAUAGUUAGCCGGAUCCACUUUCCUCCCUUUCUUGAAGAUAGGCACCACAUUGGCCUUCUUCCAGUCUUCGGGCACUACACCAGAGCACCAAGAGUUUUCAAAGAUCCAUGCUAGAGGCUGGGCUAUGAUGCUCGCCAGCUCCUUGAGUACCCUGGGGUGAAGAUUGUCAGGGCCAGCUGACUUGAAGGUAUCCAGCUUCUCAAGAUGAUGUCUGGGCUGGUUUGGACAGGGCUGAUUCUGAUUCAGGCGGUGGUUGGACUGGAGGUGACCUCUGCAGGCCCACUCAGUCCCUCUCUUUUAGGAUUUCCAAGAUGAGAACUUCCCCUAGAGCCGUGGCUCCCAACCUUUUUAGACUGCGGACUGGCAAACCGCAGACCAAAAGCAGAACCUUUCAUAGAUGUAAUUGCAUAGACAUUAGGGCUGGAAAGGACCUCAUAAGACCAUUCCCUUCCUCAUCAGCUCUCACGUUUUCCAUUGCUUUCUUCACGGUGGCUGGCCAUGGAGCUGGUGCUCUUAUUCAACUCUCCACAAUGGCUCCCAGGUCUCUUUCCUGUGUGGUAACAGCUCACGUGGAGCCCAUCGUGGUGUCAGUCCCAUUUAUACAAUUCACAUUCAAAUGUGUUCUUGGCCCAUUCCACUCAGAUCAUGACCCCAUGGCCAAUAGAGCAGGGAAACUGAGUCAUUGGUGACCAGUGCAAAGCCCUGCACAUGGGAGGGAAUAAUUGCACUCACCAAUCCAGCCUGAGGAAUGUAUAGCCGGGUUGUAGCCCUGCAGAGAUGACUUGGGGGCAGCAGGGGCCAUGAGCUGUAUCCGAGCCGGCCGUGUGCUUUGGUGGUAAAAUAAAUCAGCAUCCUGAAAAGCAUGA